GGGAGAAUCCUGAAUUCGAAAGGGGCCGGAUUCAAGUCCAUUCUGAUUGUUCAGGCCGCCUGUCCCCGCCAGAUGGUGCCGGUCGCCCGCGGCGAUUAAUUUCGUUUGCGGUGUCGUUCCCGGCGCUCACUCGGUGGGUUGGCGUGUCUCUGGCAUCAGAGAACUGCACUUCCACCCUAGUAGAAACGUCGCGACCCGUUGGGUGCCGGUCUAAGGCCCGGGAUGGCAGACCACGUGUCCUGCGGGGGCUCUCGCAGGCGCGCGGACUCCUGGUGUCCCGGCCGGCUGCCCGACGGUAAGACCAGAGGGGUCGAUCCGCUACAGGGGAAACACUUUGGUGUGUAGCGUCCGGCCCGUUUUUCCGACACGUGCGGGGUCUGUACCUCGUCGUCGGAUCAGAUGGUGUCCUCGGACUGGAUCAACCCCCGUCUGCGACGCCCUUCUUCGGAUGGUCUCCCG
rnacentral:rRNA from 1 species